rnacentral:lncRNA from 1 species
CCCUAAACAAAUAUAUACUAGUCCAGUGAUAAUGAACGCCAUACUAAUUUCCAAAUUGAACACAAGAAACUAAAAUUAAAAUAAUACAAGACAAACAAAGGCCAGAGGCUCCUGACUUGGGACAGGCGCAAAAAUGCGGCGGGGUUAAACAUGUUUGUGAGAUCUCAACCCUCCCCCUAUACCUCUAACCAAUGUAGAAAAGUAAACGCAUAACAAUACGCACAUUAAAAUUCAGUUAAAGAGAAGUCCGAGUCUGAUGUCAGAAUAUGUAACCAAAGAAAAUAAACAAAAUGACAAUAAUACAUAAAUAACAACAGACUACUAGCAGUUAACUGACAUGCCAGCUCCAGACUUCAAUUAAACUGACUGAAAGAUUAUGAUUUCAUCAUAUGAACAUCAGGC